UGCAUCGGCCGGGAAUCGAACCCGGUCGGCCGCGUGGCAGGCGAGCAUUCUACCACUGAACCACCGAUGG
rnacentral:tRNA from 1 species